GUAUCCGUGUGCGAGCGGUUUAAGCAAGUAGAUUGUGACUCUACUGGACGAUAAGUCCGUCACAGGUUCGAAUCCUGUCGGGUGCC
rnacentral:tRNA from 1 species